rnacentral:rRNA from 1 species
ACGAACGCUGGCGGCGUGCUUAACACAUGCAAGUCGAACGCUGAACCCGCUUCGGUGGGGGAUGAGUGGCGACCGGGUGAGUAACACGUGGGCAACCUGCCCCCGGCUCUGGGAUAACUCCAAGAAAUUGGGGCUAAUACCGGAUGUGACCGCUGGCCGCAUGGUCUGGUGGUGGAAAGGGUUUCCGGCUGGGGAUGGGCCCGCGGCCUAUCAGCUUGUUGGUGGGGUAGUGGCCUACCAAGGCGACGACGGGUAGCCGGCCUGAGAGGGUGACCGGCCACACUGGGACUGAGACACGGCCCAGACUCCUACGGGAGGCAGCAGUGGGGAAUAUUGCGCAAUGGGCGGAAGCCUGACGCAGCGACGCCGCGUGGGGGAUGACGGCCUUCGGGUUGUAAACCUCUUUCAGCAGGGACGAAGCGCAAGUGACGGUACCUGCAGAAGAAGCACCGGCCAACUACG